rnacentral:rRNA from 1 species
AUGUUAGCCACCGCCACCACCGCCUGCUUCCUCUUGCCGCGCCCGGCCGCCGCCAGCCGGGGCCUACCCUUGCACUCCCUCCUCCUCUCACGCCGUCGCCCCCGCCCCCGCUGCGCCGUCGACGCCAGCAGCGCUGCCGCUUCCGGCGGCGGCGGCGCUGCCAAGGAGCCGCCCAGGACGCUGUUCCCCGGCGGGUUCAAGCGCCCGGAGAUCCAGGUCCCGGCGCUCGUCCUCCGCCUUGGAGUCGACGAGGCGCUCGGCUCCGGUGACGCGGUAGCCGCCGCCGUGGCGCGGGGCGUGGGGAUCGUCGUGCUCGAGGCCGGGGAGGAGGGCGGCGGGCGCGCGUACGAGGCCGCGCGCGCGCUCAAGGCGGCGAUAGGGGACCGCGCCUACCUGCUGAUCGCGGAGCGAGUCGACGUCGCCUCCGCGGUAGGGGCGAGCGGCGUCGUGCUAGCCGACGAUGGUAUUCCUGCUAUUGUUGCAAGGAGUAUGAUGAUGAAAUCAAACUCUGACUCCAUAUAUCUCCCGCUUGUCGCUAGAACUAUACGGUCCUCGGACUCUGCCAGAAGCGCUACUAGUUCUGAGGGGGCUGAUUUCCUUAUCGUAAAUACCGGGACAGGUGACUUCUCGAGUGUUUUGAAUGGUGCUGGUGCUCAGCAUGUCAAGAUUCCAGUUUUCUUCACUUUAAAUGAUUUGCAAAGCGAAGGGUCUUAUUCUGAUACCACAUCCAAGCUGUUCGAGUCUGGUGCAUCUGGAAUUGUUUUGUCUUUGGCUGGCAUCCAACAUCUUACUGACAAUAUCAUAGAAAGGGAUUUUUUGAAAGUGGAGAGCACCGAUAGAGUGUCAAAAGUCACCUACUCUUCUGCUAGCGCGUUGGAAGAAACAAACAAUGUAAUGGUCCUAACUCGUGAGAAGACAAAAGUUGCUGGAUUUACAAAACUGGAUGAAAAAGUGAUGCAGCUAAUAGCGACGGAAAAGCCUAUUCUCAGUGAAGCUGUUGAUGUUAUCCGCAAGGCAGCACCAAUGAUGGAAGAGGCUGAACUUCUGGUUGAUGCUGCUUCUCGCCUGAGUGAGCCAUUUUUGUUGGUUAUUGUGGGUGAAUUUAACUCGGGAAAAUCAACCUUUAUAAAUGCUCUACUUGGAAGGAAGUAUCUUCAGGAAGGAGUUGUACCCACGACAAAUGAGAUCACACUGCUCUCAUAUUCAGAGGUUGAUUCCGAAAGCAUGGAGCGAUGUGAGCGGCACCCGGAUGGUCAAUUCACAUGCUAUUUAUCGGCUCCAAUUUUAAAAGAGAUGAACCUAGUUGAUACACCUGGAACAAAUGUCAUUCUCCAGAGGCAGCAGCGACUCACUGAAGAAUAUGUGCCACGAGCUGACUUGAUACUCUUUGUACUGUCAUCAGAUAGACCAUUGACUGAGAGUGAGGUCGGAUUUCUCCAGUAUGUCCAGCAGUGGAAGAAGAAAGUUGUAUUUGUUCUAAACAAAUUGGACCUCUAUCGGAACAGUGAUGAGCUUGAAGAGGCCACUGCCUUUAUCAAGGAAAACGCAAGGAAAUUACUCAACACUGAGGAUGUAACACUGUUUCCUGUAUCUUCACGCUCUGCUCUGGAAGUCAAACUUUCAUAUUCAAAGAACAAUGAUAGGGAGCACCACGGGGAAGUUUUGUUAAGUGAUCCUAGAUGGAGAAGCAGCAAGUUUUAUGAUCUUGAGCAUUACCUACUGAGCUUUUUAGAUGGUUCAACAGAUAAUGGAAAGGAAAGGGUCCGACUGAAACUUGAAACACCAAUUGGUAUUGCAGAUCGUUUGCUAACUUCAUGUCAAAGACUUGUGAAACUAGAAUAUGAAAAGGCUAUUGAUGACUUGACAUCCAUCAGGGAUCUUGUUUCUGGUGCAAACAGCUAUGCUUUGAAAAUUGAGGCUGAUAGCAAUUCCUGGCAGAAGCAGAUUUCAUCUCUUAUUGAGAGAGCAAAAAGUCGAGCUAUAACGCUCAUGGAAUCUACACUUCAGUUGUCAAACAUUGACCUUAUUUUUACAUACAUGCUCACAGGAGAAAAAGGGCCUUCCGCCAAAGCCACAUCGUUUGUUCAAAAUGAUAUUCUGAGUCCUGCCCUUGACGAUGCAGCUGAUUUAUUGAGUGAAUAUUCAAAAUGGUUGAGUUCUAGCAAUACCCGUGAAGCAAAUUUAUAUCUGGAGUGUUUCCAUGAAAGAUGGAAUUCAUUGGUUAGUCAGGAAGAAAGUGUCUCAUCAGAUCGAACUGAGCUUGUUAAUGAAGGAGAGAAACUCAGCAUAAAAGCACUGGAUGGCUUCAGUGCUACUGCUGCUGCUAAGGUUUUUGAAGAAGAAAUUCGUGAAGUGGCUACGGGAACUUUUGGAGGGCUUGGGGUUGCUGGAUUGUCAGCCUCUCUUUUGACUUCUGUUCUAACAACUACACUCGAAGAUCUACUUGCUCUUGCUCUUUGCUCAGCUGGCGGGUUUCUCGCAAUAUCGAAUUUCCCUGGUCGACGGAAGCUUGCGGUAGAGAAGGUCAGCAAGGCUGCCGAUGAACUAUCUCGUAAAGUUGAUGAAGCUAUUCAGAAGGAUAUAUCUAGGAGUGCUAGUCAGCUAGUCCAGUUCGUAGACACUGCCAGCAAACCGUACCAGGAAGCAUGCCAGCGAAAAAUUGACUGGCUGCAGGGUGUUCAGGGUGAGUUGUCCGCCGUUGAGCGUAAGCUCCAAACUCUGAAAAUCGACAUCCAAAAUCUGCACGGAUCAUGA